GAUGAACGCUGGCGGCGUGCCUAAUACAUGCAAGUAGAACGCUGAAGGAGGAGCUUGCUCUUCUGGAUGAGUUGCGAACGGGUGAGUAACGCGUAGGUAACCUGCCUGGUAGCGGGGGAUAACUAUUGGAAACGAUAGCUAAUACCGCAUGACAACAGUUAUUGCAUGAUAACUGUUUAAAAGGGGCAACUGCUCCACUACCAGAUGGACCUGCGUUGUAUUAGCUAGUUGGUGAGGUAACGGCUCACCAAGGCGACGACACAUAGCCGACCUGAGAGGGGGGUCGGCCACACUGGGACUGAGACACGGCCCAGACUCCUACGGGAGGCAGCAGUAGGGUAUCGUCGGCUAUGGACGGAAGUCUGACCGAGCAACGCCGCGUGAGUGAAGAAGGUUUUCGGAUCGUAAAGCUCUGUUGUAAGAGAAGAGCGAGUGUGAGAGUGGAAAGUUCACACUGUGACGGUAUCUUACCAGAAAGGGACGGCUAACUACGUG
rnacentral:rRNA from 1 species